UACUUUUUAAAACUGCAGCGCUUGGCAUUAUUCUGUUUAGCUCUUAUUCUGCCGAUCCUCAGGCGACCUCCAGGAGGGGGGCAGGCUGUGUCCCUCUGAGGGGAGGUGCCCUCUGGAAACAUUCCAGGGUCCCCAGAGAACCUGGAGCCCCUCAGGAGACCAGCUGACGAUCACUCCUAAAUUCACCUGUAAGUCCUCCUCUGGAGUUUUUGGCCAGAGCUGGGUUUGAACCCACCACCUCUAUCAUAUGGGGCUGGUGCCCUCCUCCUUGAGCCACAGGCAUCACCCUCAGAGGAUGAAAGUGGCAAACUUUAACAAAGGAGCAUCAGCAGCCAUUGGCAGCCAGGAAAUGAAAUUGUGCCACAUACUCAGAAGAAGGAAAGAACCAGAAAUAGCUGACAAGUAACACUCAAGACUACCCAAGCCGUGCAGAAGGAAAUUUCCCUGGUUAGGGUGACACCACUGGACAUUGUUGGUCAUCACCGGUGCUUCCAGAAUGAAGCCUAAACUGUCUUCAAACUCCUGAAUUCAUUAUUAAUUCAAAGUCCCUGUUAAUUGACUGAGCUUGAGUACAUAACUGUGUUCUAGCUGCCAGUACCUAUCUCUCACCUUGUCAUCUGGUAAAUGCCAUCCCAAAUUCCCCAAAUGUAAGAGGAGAUUAGAUCCUGGGCAGUCAAAAUGGGGGAGGGAAUGUUUACUCUGUGAUAAAUGUCUGAUAUAUUGAACUAUUAGAGUGGAAAUUAGUGCUACAUGGGCCAUUCACUCAUAUCUCCAUCUAUAUGUUCAUUUGGGCAACAAAUGUUUACUGAAAUCCCACCAGCUUCUAGACACUCUGAAGAUACCAAGAUAAAUAAGACAUGGUCCUUCAGAUGCAUGUAUUCUAAUAGAGAAGAUAGACAUUAAAGAAAUAAUUGCAGUGCAGUACAGUAAGUCUUUAUAUAGAGAUUAAUGCUAAAGGAUGAUGUUAGCACAAAGUAGGGAGUAAUUAACUUUAAUGAGAGUGGGUGCAUUGGUCAGGAAUGGACAUUCUAGGAAGAAGCUAUAGUGCCGGUGGAGGUGAAGCUGUAUAGUAUCUUCCUUAGGCACAGAUGAGUAACAUAGUAUGUCAGCAACAUAGAAAACCAGAUAAAGCUAAGGCUGGAGAGGGAGACAGAAGUCAAAUCAGAGAAGGCCUUCCUGGUCAUCCUGGGCAUGGACUUUGUCCUUCAGGGAGUAGGAAAGAUGACAUUGGGAGUCCAGACUAAGGGAGGAGUGAACUGACACCUCUUUGAGACAGGGCAGUGAUUUCCAAAUGAUAACCAGAUAAGGACAGAAAACCCAAAUGGCAUAUCCAGAGCCACUGAGUCCUAGCAAGCUAAGGGAAGGUUAUUCCAACUACAGUAGGAAGUCUAACUACAUGUGCCCAUUCCAGGGAGGGCCUUUAGCCAUGGGGUGGAAGUCAGAGCAGUGCUCAUGGCUGGAAGGUGUGAAGUCACCAAGUUGUACCAGUUGGUAGCAGGCAAAAGAGAAGCACAGAGCCUGGAGACUGGAGCUUGUAGCACUGACUUAGAAGAGGCAGCAGUUGAUACCUGGAAGCUCUGUUUAGGAGAUCUCUAAAGGAGGCAAAUCAAGAGAACAGAUAGCUAGUAAGUGAACCCCAGGUCAGUCUGGACAGUUUAUAGGAGGCCUCCUAAAUGGGAGCUGCUGACCAAGGAUUUAUCUCUCAAAGGGAUAAGUACAACAGAGUCUACAAAGCAUAGGUGAACAGGCUAAAUGUCCCGGCCCAGCCUUGCAGGAAGAAACAGAGGUAUUCGUCAUGUAACCAAUGUGAACUAGGAUAAUUAGCUCACAAGUAAAACUUGAUUACAGAAAGAUGGCAAAACAAAACAAAGCAGAAACUCCAGAAACAAUACAGAGAGCUGGACCUAAGGCACAUCCAGUAGAAUGUUGAUUGACUACUUAGUGGCAUCUGUUACUGAAACAUGGCUCCUUAAACUCCUGACAGCCCAGGUUGGGCUAGGCCUGAAUGUGAUGGUGCUGUGGCUUUGCUGCAGGAAGAAGAAAGGGGAGCUGUUCCUGACUUCACAGAUGUGAAGUAGAAGCGAUGAAGAUGAAAGAGGGUAGAAAAUACAGGUACUGACUGCAGACCUUCAUGCAUUCUGAUUCUGCAGAGUAAAUCAUUCUCCUUCAGCCUUCUGUGACUUCAAGGUUUGCUAAUGCUAGAAACGAGAAUGAAGUAGAAACUCCUUUGCAUGGCAUUCCUGUCCACUGACUUGGUCCCUACCUCUCUCUAGCUUCAUCUGCCACCCUUCUGCAUCAUAUUUGACCCUCUUAUAAUGCCACACUCCUGGCUAUUCACACCUAUGUGCCUUUGUUAGAGCCAUUCCCUUUGGCCAGAUUUAGCAAAUAAAAUACAGGAUGUUCAGUUAAAAUUUGAAUUUCAAGUAAACAAUGAAUAAAUUUUCUGUGUGUGACAGUAUGCCCCA